CUCAUUUUACUGUAUUGAAAAAUAUAAUAAUCACUAAAGCACACCUUACUUUAUUCUGAAUUAUAACACUUUAAUAUACGUUAUAGUAUUAUAAAUAGUAAGAUCAAUGAGUUUAUCAUACAUCCAGUCAGUCUGCUUCUUUGGUAUGAUUCAGGAGUGGCACAAUGGAAGAUUCUAACCUGCUAGAACUACAAUUUACUUGAUGCUAUCGGCCUACAUAGCUUUAUGCAUGCUGUAUUUCUGGAUAUCUACAUUGUGUGACUCUUAGAUCAGAAAGUACCUCUGCAGUAUACAAGAAUAUUAAAGGGACACUAUAGUCACCAAAACAACUUUAGCUUAAUUAAGCAGUUUUGAUGUAUAAAUCAUGUCCCUGCAGUCUCACCACUCAAUUAUCUGCAAUUUAGGAGUUAAAUCACUUUGUUUAUAUACCCCUAUUCACACCUUCAUGCAUGUGACUUGCACAGCCUCCCUAAACACUUCCUGUAAAGAGUCAUCUAAAGUUUAUCAUUCCUUUAUUGCAAGUUCUGUUUAUUUUAGUUUUCUUAUCCCCUGCUCUGUUAAGUCUUCUGUAUGCGAUUAAAGUUCAAUUUACAGAGUAAGAGAUACAACUGUUUAAGGUAAAUUACAUUGGAUUGAAAGUGAAACCAGUUUAUUUUUUUUCAUGCAGACUGUGUCAAUCAUAGCCAGGGGAGGUGUGACAAGGGCUACAGAAACAAAGGGAUUUAACUCCUAAAUGGCCAUGAAUUGAGCAUUGAAACCUGAGAGGCAUGAACUAUACACUAAAACUGCUUCAUUAAGCUAAAGUUGUUUAGGUGAAUAUAGUGCUCAUUUAAGAAUAAGAAAAAAAUAAAACCAAAUAUUAUAAACUACUGGCUUUUGGGUCUUCUUAGAAACAUUAAGCAAAAAUAACAG